rnacentral:lncRNA from 1 species
UUUCCAGUGAAGGGGUUAGUGGAUUGCUGGUUUUACCAUGUUUGCAUUUAUUUUCACAUACCAGUAGCCCUGCAAAUGUGUGGGUUGUCCCUGGGCCUGAGUUGGGUAGAUCUGCUAAAUGAGAAGUUCUGGUUUCUCUGAAGACACUUCUGCACAUGUCCUUCCACAGUCUAGGCUGUCUAUUUCCAACAAUAUUUCACAUGGCCCUAUAAGGUUUCAAGCCCAUUUGGGGUGCUCUUUGUACUUUUCCCAUUAUGGCUUCUUUUUUUUUUUUCAUUGUUUUGUAGCUGCGGUGCCACCUGAAAUGAACAAUCAAACAGACGUCACUGAAUUCAUCUUCUUGGGGUUUUCCAACCAUCCCAAUCUACAGAGUUUGUUCUUCCUGGUAUUCCUGGUCAUUUAUCUGACAACUCUUUUUGGGAACACACUCAUAAUAAUGGCCACCAGGGUCAGUCCUGCCCUCCACAUCCCAAUGUAUUAUUUUCUCAGCAACCUGAGUUUCUUGGACAUUUGCUACUCAUCUACCACUAUCCCAGGCAUGCUGGUGAACUUUUUCCAGGAGAAGAAGGCUAUCUCCUAUGAGGGUUGCCUUUCCCAGAUUUUCUUCCUUGUGACCUGUGCUGGCACUGAGGGUGUAUUGUUGGCAGCUAUGGCUUACGACCGCUAUGUAGCCAUCUGCCACCCUCUUCAAUAUCCAGUUCUUAUGAGUGUAAAGGUCUGUGUCUGUUUGGUGUCUGGGUCCUGGCUAUGUGGACUGGUGAAUUCUAUGACACACACAGUGCUGGCAACCACACUCACUCUGUGUGGGCCUAACCAGAUCAGUCACUUUCUCUGUGACAUCCCAUUCCUCCUGAAGCUCUCCUGCUCAGAUACCUCUCUCAAUGAGUUUGUGCUCCAUGUGGCCAGUGCCAUUAUUGGCCUGAGUCCCUGCUUGUUUACUGCUGUGUCCUACAUACUCAUCAUCUCUGCCAUCCUUAGGGUUCCCUCUGCUCAGGGCAGGAGCAAAGCCUUUUCUACCUGUGCAUCCCACCUCACUGUGGUGAUUAUCUUCUUUGGAACAGCCAACUUUAACUAUGAUAAACCAAAUGUAGGCUACAACCUGGAUAUGGACAUCCUGGUCUCUGUGCUCUUCUGUGUUGGGACCCCCAUGUCUAACCCCAUCAUCUAUAGUCUGAGAAACAAGGAGAUCAAAAGUGUCCUGAGGAAGCUGGCUAAAGAAUGCUGGUUCUCUAGUGAGAUCAGUGGUUAA